UCACCACACUACAUAAUUGCUUAGAAACCACUCGAGGGACACAACAAGGAGCUCAAGGCACUGAAACAGCGUUCAUGGAACGUGCUGUAACGAGAGAGCCAUCGAAGCCUCAAUCUGCAACCCAUAGUUCUCAAACAAUCUGCUACCAACGUCCUGGUGUCAUCCCUAGAGGUCCUGUGUCCAUUUCUUUUUGUCAGCAUGAGGGGGAUCUACACAAUAUUCUGUAGGUGGUUUAAAAUCAGUUCAGAUCAAAUCAAUUUUAAUUAUAUAGCGCCAAUUCACAACAUGAAAGGAACAUUUGGUGACAGUUGGAAGGAACAAAGAAACCCUCCCUUAUACCGGGAAGAAAGGUAUCGGAAAAAGUGUGAUAAAAUGUGAGGAUAGAGCAGAUAAAGGUUGCUUCAGGCUAGAAUUUGAAACUAUUUUUUUUGUUUAAACUGCUUAUGUAUUACAUGGCAUUUAGAGGCUGAUGUUAAUGCUUGUUGUUAUCACAUUAGCCAAGGCUAAGAUACUUUUGCAUAUAAUUUAAGAUUUAAAUUUUGGAUACUGUAACAAAGUAAGCAUAUAAACAAGUAGGAUUAAAUUUGGCUUCUUUACACAGAGUAGCACAUUCCUAGAAUUUAAACUGUCUCUAAUAUAUAAACAUUAAAAGAAAAUGAUGUAUGCUUGCAUACUUUCUGAUAAAAGGCAUGUGUAACCCGGGUAGAUAACCUCAGGUCAUUAGGUCAUUAAUAAUGUGUUUUUAGCCAGUAUUUUGAGUUAGUCCCUUAAUUUGCCUUUUCUCUCAGGAGAAUCAGUACCGUAAAUUGGCCACAAGGUGGUAGUAGAGGGCCGUUAUUGUCCUGAAGAUUGAAUUUGAUAAGUUUCCUUAGUGCGCGAAAAAGUGCUCGGGGUGGCUAUCUUACCGAAAUACGCGAUCUUUUCUUUUUCUUGCCGCACCCAGUCCUGUGCGGAUGCUACGCUCAAGCUAGCGCUGGAUUUACUUAGAAAACAGACCAUAAAAGAGGUAUUUUGACACUAAAGUUAACUGCAGACGUUACGGAAGUAGACAAGAACCAUCAGACGUCUUUGAACGUAGAAAUCGACAUUCCGGAUUCUCUUCAGCGGGACUUUGAUCUUCAUCCAUCUGCUGUGUGUUGAUGUCCAUCCACGUCCACAUCUCCAUCUCCAUCACACUGGGAUCGGCCAUCACCUCGGACCAUCUUGUCGGACAUUCAUUAUCAGGGGGCGGUAGACACAAAAAGACACAAGAAACAAGUGAUGCUGGUUCUCCAUGUGAGACGAUUCCAACCCUGAGUGGGCGGCCACUUUUGUUGAAUUCAUGAGAAGACAAAUGUUCAGAGGGAGAUGAUGCCACAUCUGGUCCAGCUGAUGGAAGGUCUUGAAGUUCUCUGACUGGCCUCGACUGAAGAUGGUCGUCUCACUGGAUUUAAGGUUCAGAUGCUCAGUAACAAACUCCACCAAUGAAAUAUACCAUUAAACUCACCUUUUAGGUCUAUAUUGGAGGAUUUUAGGUGGAAUUUUUCUUCAAGUCUACAUUUAAGGAUGUUUAGGAUGGUACAUUCUUCCAAACCAACUUCUCAGGUCUACAUUUCAGGUGGAAUAUUCCUCCAUACUAACUUUUUUGGUCUACAUUGAAGGAUUUUUUUCUAAACCACCCUUUCGGGUCUAUAUUUGAGGUUUUAGGUGGAAUAUUCCUUUUAACCAGCCCCUCGGGUCUCUUUGAGGAUUUUGGAUGGAAUACUCGGUUAAACCAACAUUUUAGGUGCAUGUCCAAGGAUUUUUGGUGGAAUGUUCCUUUAAGGUGGAUGUUUGAGAACCUUAUAGGUGGAAUAGUCCCUGAAACCAACCUUUUAGGUCAGCAUUCAAAGAUUUAAGGUAGAAUAUUCCUUUAAACCAACCUGAAUUUCAUGUUUUGAUCAUUAUCAAGUGAGAAACCUCAAUCCAGACUCCUCAUAAUGACAUCUGAGAUUUAUGCUGCUGUUAUUUGUUUAGUUCAGACUAAAUGACAGAAAUCCACAACUGUAAUUUUAUUUCAGGACUCAGUUAUUAAAUGUCAAAACAAUCCAUGUGACUCUAAAAACUCAACAGCUUUAUAAACUCUAAGAUUAAACUCUCCACAAGGAUCCAAAAUAAGUUGGACUUCUACAUGAGAGCUUUAAUUAUUCUUCAUCUACUUCCUGAAAAGUUUGGUCAAUAAAGAAGACAAAAAGUAAUAUUUUCAGCUGAACUAAAGACAGACUUUGUGAUUUUUCUGCUCACAUGUUGUGUUGUUGUAAACUUACCCUUUCAAAUAAAUAGCCUCCUAACCCCCUGGAAACCAGCGUUUGUCCUGUUUUUGUGUUGCUCCUCGGCGACCCAAGACAGCCGGGUCAUAAUGUUUUUUGAGCAACACACCAUACUAUGACGUUUUUACAAUGAUGGUUCUACUAUGGAACCAGUUUGACAUGUUCAGGUGUUCUUUGUGUGAAAACUCAGAGAUUUCAGGUAUCAGAAGGUGGUUUUCAACUUUCUUUGUUAACUUUCUGCUUCAACUUUAAACUAAAUUUACUUCACUAACCCAGCCCUCUGGACUUCCAGUAAGCUGUGUUCCUAUUGGCUGUCCAGGUGGCUGCUUGGUGUUAUCAGGAACACCUGAGCAGCUCGGUGUUAUCAGGAACACCUGAGCAGCUCAGUGUCUUCCUGCUUUAUUUAGCUGCAGACAAACAUUUCCUCUGCUUCUCUUCACCACUGAACUGGGUUUGGCUCCAUUGCUUUAGUAUGUUCUUUAGGCGUUGGCUUGCAGCUUCCAGCAGUAAAAUCGGCUUUAAUGUGUUUCUUGGUGUGUUUUAGGGCUUUGUACCAGAUAGUUGUCUUGGUAAAUGAGGUUCUUUAGCCACAGUUGGCACAUGGUGCUAAUGUGUGCAUUGAUUAGUGGAUUUGGUGCACCUGAGUUGUGUAUUUAUCUUGGCUGUAGUGAGUCUUCAGAGGUUUUUGGUCAGACACAUUCUGUAUUCUUGGUUGUCCAGAAGGUAAGAGUUCCUGUCCUGAUUCUCUGUUCUCAGAGGUUCUCUGGUAGGCUGCAGGAGACUUUAGUGUUUGGGUUGUACUAGUUUGGUUUUUGUAUGGUUUCAUUUGGACGACUAUCUUGAGGCCCCUCCAUGUGGUUUAGUGAGGUUUUCUGGAACAGUUCUACAAAGCAACCUGCAGCAGAAGAGACUUUGAGAGUUUUUAGGAAGUUCUGGAGAGCAGACUUUAGAGCAGCAGAAACAUUUGUCAGCAGUUUGAGCAGGAGAAGGUGAGCUUCAGAGUAGAAAUGAGAAGGAAACCUUCUUGACCCGUGUGGUGAGGUCCUGUACCAAGAGUUUGAGCAGGUUGUGAAGAGUCUGUAGUUCUUUGGUCUGAAAGCACAAGAAGAGUCGACUCAUUAAAGGAGAAAACAGGAGAUGUUGUUGGUACUUCUGUCGUUCUGCAGUUUCCAGUUUCUUUAGACUGAAUAGCAAGUUCAUAUUUUAAAUGAUUUCCCAUGUGAGCCCAAGAAGACUUCAAUAAACUCCCUCCAU